UCAAAAAAGAUUUCUAUAAGUAAUCCAUGAAAGAGAUACACUAUAAAGUAAAUUUUAAAUCGUAAAUGUAAAAUUGCUCGAAUCUAUCUUUGCAAAUUCUAACACAUCGUCCAACAUUUGUGAAGAUGAUCCCGUGUUUAUUGUUUAACAUUCAAAUCGUAAACUGUGUAUACAGAAAAUGACGUCAACGCUAUGUCAUGUAGCUGCACCCAGCUAAUACCGAGGAAACCGUAAUGACCAAGCUACCAUAUGAUAGAGCUGAUAUAGGUCAAAGCUGAUCAUACAAAUGAGUUGCGUACAGAAGGAAGUUCCGAUUCAAUCGAAAAGAGAGUUUGAUACGCAAAAUUGUUCAUCCUCAAGCAUCUUCUAAUAUUAUCCCAUGAACGCUCGUUUCUACGUUUUACAACGAAUAAAUAUUACCCUUCUAAACGUGUAAAUUAUUGGAACCGAGAGUACGAUUUUCAACGACGAUCCGAUAAUAUUAUCUUAAUAGCGAUAAAAUAUAACAAUGAUUUCUCUGAAACGACUGAUAAUCGUUAUGAAAUAGAUGUUCGUCCAGGACAUAAACGUUUCCACCAACAUAUUUUUCAGAGUUAUUUGUUUAAAUUUGGCAGUCUGCCAUUGAAAUAAUUAUAGAUCGGCCCGUUCUCUUUACAGAAAUGCAAUAACCUUUUUGCUACCUAGUUACAUAUUCUUGAAAGUA